rnacentral:rRNA from 1 species
AUUCCAGCUCCAAUAGCGUAUAUUUAAGUUGUUGCAGUUAAAAAGCUCGUAGUUGGAUCUUGGGUCGUAGGGGUCGGUCCGCCUACUCGGUGUGCACCUGCCCUUCCGUCCCUUUUGUCGGCGGCGUGCUCCUGGCCUUAAUUGGCUGGGUCGCGGUUCCGGCGCUGUUACUUUGAAAAAAUUAGAGUGCUCAAAGCAAGCUUAUGCUCUGAAUACAUUAGCAUGGAAUAACGUGAUAGGAGUCUGGUCCUAUUGUGUUGGCCUUCGGGACCGGAGUAAUGAUUAAUAGGGACUGUCGGGGGCAUUCGUAUUUCAUUGUCAGAGGUGAAAUUCUUGGAUUUAUGAAAGACGGACCACUGCGAAAGCAUUUGCCAAGGAUGUUUUCAUUG